GCCCCCACCGCUCGGCAGUGCGGGGAUUCCCAGCCCCGGUCAGCCCCGGUACCAGCCCCGCUCCGAGCUCCCGGACGCCACUCUAGGCCCGGUGCGCCGCGCACACGCACGCGCGCCUGUGUCCACCUCCUGCGGGAGUCCUCGGCGCCGGAGAUUUCCAAGCAAACCCAGGGGAGGGUCUCCUGCGUGGGCUUUGAGCCGGGCGCGGAGCAGCAGAGCAAGGAAAGGCUGGGACCAACUCUUGAGUCCAUGGCAUGUUGUUUGCAAGCAAAAAGCCAUCUGCCUCUUAAUUUUCGGACUUUAUUGCAGAAUUUUUUUCUCAAGGACUUCAGAAAUUAUUGUCGGCUUGUCAACUGACAGUAAACCACCACGCCCCCCCCCCCACGCACACCCGAGAUCGGCCUUCCAAGGUUUACAGCUCUUCUCUGUUUAGUUCCUAUCACCAUUCUAGGUCGGCCCAGCAAGUACUACUUUCCCAGGUUAACAGAUGCGGAAACAGCUCAGAGAGAUGAGUUGACACCUCACCCCUAGAGCUAGUGGCAGAAUCAGAAACCUGAAUCUUUCACUGAAUCCCUUCUGCGCUCCCAUCGCCCACAGGAUGAAACACAAACUAAUCGCGUUGGCGUUGGAGGCCCUCGAAGUGACUAACCUGUAUUCCGACUGUUUUUAGCCCACGCUACUCUGACCCAGACAGCAUCUUUUCCGUCCCAUCUCUUCUUUCCUCAAGUACCCCCUUACAAUUUCCUGUACUAUUUUUUCCCUCACUCAGCGUCUACUUGGUUUCUCGGUACAUUAUGGAUCCCACCCCCUUCCUGCCUUUUCCAGACCACAUUUCCACUCCAGCAGUUGAAUUGAGAGAGAUGGGAGCCGCACCCGCCAGGCCUGGAGCUUGCAAUGAUGAAGUGAUAGGUGCCAACAUUUCUCAGGAACUCUGGAAUCUUGUGAGGAGGGUAGACUGCUAAGUGGAUCAUUAUAAUACUUAGUGACUUGCCCUGUAGCAUGGCUGUGUAUGAGGUGCCUCGGCAGCAGAGAGAAGUCACUGGUGUGCCUGAGGAAUGAGGGAAGACUUCAGAGAGGAAGCAUGUUACAAAAUGUGAAAACCAUUCUCGGCUCCUGAGCUGAACAAAAACAGAAGACAGGCCAAAUUUGGCCCGUAGGCCAAAGGUUUGGAACCCUUACUUUGGACCUUGCCCUUGUUCUCCCCUCCUCUCUUCUCUUCCUCCUCCCCUCCUCCUCUCCCUCCUCCUUCCCUCCUCUUUUCUCCCCCUCCUCCCUCCCUCCUUCCUCCUCCCACCUCCUCCUUCCCUCCCCUCCCCCUCCUCACUUCCUACCCCUGCCCACUACUCCUCCUUUCCUCCUCCCCUCCCCUCCCUCUUUUCUCCUCCCUUCCCUCCCUUCCCCAUUCUUCCCUCCCUCCCCUCCCCCUCCUCCUUUCGGCCCCUGCCCACUACUCCUCCUUCCCUCCUCCCUGCCCCUCUCCCCUCCCUUCUCCCCUCCCCUCUUUCCUCCUCCCUGCCCUCCCGUCCCCAUUCUCCCCGCCCCCGCCCCGCGUCCCUAACCGGGGCCCAGACGCGGCGGGCCGGCGCGGUCAGGGGG